GACGAACGCUGGCGGUGUGCUUCACACAUGCAAGUCGAACGGGGUAGCAAUACCCAGUGGCGGACGGGUGAGUAACACGUGGGAAUCUGCCUUUGAGUGGGGAAUAACUGACCGAAAGGUUGGCUAAUACCGCAUACGCCGAAAGGUAAAAGGAGCAAUCCGCUCGAAGAUGAGCCCGCGUCCGAUUAGCUAGUUGGUGAGGUAAAGGCUCACCAAGGCAACGAUCGGUAGCCGGCCUGAGAGGGCACACGGCCACACUGGCACUGAAACACGGGCCAGACUCCUACGGGAGGCAGCAGUGGGGAAUCUUGCACAAUGGGGGCAACCCUGAUGCAGCGACGCCGCGUGAGUGAUGAAGCCCUUCGGGGCGUAAAGCUCUUUCGGCAGGAACGAUAAUGACGGUACCUGAAGAAGAAGCUGCGGCUAACUACGUGCCAGCAGCCGCGGUAAUACGUAGGCAGCAAGCGUUGUUCGGAGUUACUGGGCGUAAAGAGUGCGUAGGCGGUUUUCCAAGUUUGGUGUGAAAUCUCCCGGCUUAACUGGGAGGGUGCGCCGAAAACUGGGAGGCUGGAGUGUGGGAAAGGCAAGCGGAAUUCCUGGUGUAGCGGUGAAAUGCGUAGAUAUCAGGAGGAACACCGGCGGUGUAGACGGCUUGCUAGACCAUAACUGACGCUGAGGCACGAAAGCGUGGGUAGCAAACAGGAUUAGAUACCCUGGUAGUCCACGCCCUAAACGAUGCAUACUUGGUGUGGGCAGUUCAUUCUGUCCGUGCCGGAGCUAACGCGUUAAGUAUGCCGCCUGGGGAGUACGGUCGCAAGGCUG
rnacentral:rRNA from 1 species